UCYGGUUGAUCCUGCCRGACCCGACUGCUAUCAGAGUGAGACUAAGCCAUGCGAGUUAACGUAUGAAUAAUACGUGGCACACGGCUCAGUAACACGUAGUCAACAUGCCCAGAGGACGUGGAUAACCUCGGGAAACUGAGGAUAAACCGCGAUAGGCCAUAAUUACUGGAAUGGGUUAUGGCUUAAACCUAUAUGGCCUCUGGAUUGGACUGCGGCCGAUCAGGCUGUUGGUGAGGUAAUGGCCCACCAAACCUGUUACCGGUACGGGCUCUGAGAGGAGGAGCCCGGAGAUGGGCACUGAGACAAGGGCCCAGGCCCUAUGGGGCGCAACAGGCGCGAAACCUCUGCAAUAGGCGAAAGCCUGACAGGGUUACUCUGAGUGAUUCCCGCUAAGGGGAUCUUUUGGCACCUCUAAAAAUGGUGCAGAAUAAGGGGUGGGCAAGUCUGGUGUCAGCCGCCGCGGUAAUACCAGCACCCCGAGUGGUCGGGACGAUUAUUGGGCCUAAAGCAUCCGUAGCCGGUCAUGCAAGUCCUCCGUUAAAUCCACCUGCUCAACAGAUGGGCUGCGGAGGAUACUACAAGGCUAGGAGGCGGAAGAGGCAAGCGGUACUCAGUGGGUAGGGGUAAAAUCCUCCGAUCCAUUGAAGACCACCAGUGGCGAAGGCGGCUUGCCAAUACGCGCUCGACGGUGAGGGAUGAAAGCUGGGGGAGCAAACCGGAUUAGAUACCCGGGUAGUCCCAGCUGUAAACGAUGCAGACUCGGUGAUGGGCCGGCUUUAUGCCGGCUCAGUGCCGCAGGGAAGCCGUUAAGUCUGCCGCCUGGGGAGUACGGUCGCAAGACUGAAACUUAAAGGAAUUGGCGGGGGAGCACCACAAGGGGUGAAGCCUGCGGUUCAAUUGGABUCAACGCCGGR
rnacentral:rRNA from 1 species